GGCGGCAUAGCCAAGUGGUAAGGCAGAGGUCUGCAAAACCUUUAUCCCCAGUUCAAAUCUGGGUGUCGCCUCCA
rnacentral:tRNA from 3 species